GAUGAACGCUAGCUACAGGCUUAACACAUGCAAGUCGAGGGGCAGCAUUAUCGAAGCUUGCUUUGAUAGAUGGCGACCGGCGCACGGGUGAGUAACGCGUAUCCAACCUUCCCCAUAGUCAGGAAUAGCCCGGCGAAAGUCGAAUUAAUGCCUGAUGUUUUCCACGGACGGCAUCCGAUGUGGAACAAAGAUUGAUCGCUAUGGGAUGGGGAUGCGUCUGAUUAGCUUGUUGGCGGGGUAACGGCCCACCAAGGCAACGAUCAGUAGGGGUUCUGAGAGGAAGGUCCCCCACAUUGGAACUGAGACACGGUCCAAAACUCCUACGGGAGGCAGCAGUGAGGAAUAUUGGUCAAUGGGCGAAGCCUGAACCAGCCAAGUAGCGUGAGGGAUGACUGCCCUAUGGGUUGUAAAACCCUCUUUUUAUAAAGGGAAUAAAAUACGGGACGUGUCCUGUUUUGCAUGUACCUUAUGAAUAAGGACCGGCUAAUUCCGUGCCAGCAGCCGAC
rnacentral:rRNA from 1 species